rnacentral:lncRNA from 1 species
GGAUUGAUGCCAACUACGUAAAACUUCAAUCUGGCGAUAAGUGUCGGUACCAAACGCACAAUUCUUUAAUUUGACAUGAUCAACAUUGGGAGAAACAAAUACCUUUGAAAUCAUGAGAAUGAAAACACAUUCAUGAGUACUUCAAGUCUCGCAGCCAAGUUUCGGCAAGCCUACACAUCGACCAACCUUAAAGUAGGGGGCAUCUGUAGACACAUAAAAUUUAUUGGAUCAAAUUCAUAGAAAAUUUAAAUUUGAUUCACAUUUUAUUGGGUUUAAACUUAUUUUGGGCUUAAAAAAUAAUAAGUCUAUUGUAUUCCUCAUCAAGGUCCAUCUCACCUUGAAGCCUAAACUUAUCAAGUAACGUGGCAUUCCAGUCAAAUCCAAGACCAAUGAUACGUCACCACAUGUACAAAUGAUGUGGAAAUCUCAUUCAAAUCCAACAAUCAGUCAAAAGGCGUCAAGUGGCAAAGUGACAUAUUUCAACCAAUCACAAGCGACUAGGUCUACCCCCUACAAUUAUAAAUAAGGGAGUAACAUAACAUUCUAAGGGGAAGAAAAGAAAAAGGAGGACAUUCUGUAAGAAUUGGAGGAAGCUUCUACAUUGACUACACAGCUCUUCAACGAAUUGCCUAACGGAGUUCUGCCCAG